AGCGGCGGACGGGUGAGUAACGCGUGGGUAACCGUGCCUCAUACAGGGGGAUAACAGUUGGAAACGGCUGCUAAUACCGCAUAAGCGCACAGUACCGCAUGGUACGGUGUGAAAAACUCCGGUGGUAUGAGAUGGACCCGCGUCUGAUUAGGUAGUUGAUGGGGUAACGGCCUACCAAGCCGACGAUCAGUAGCCGACCUGAGAGGGUGACCGGCCACAUUGGGACUGAGACACGGCCCAA
rnacentral:rRNA from 1 species